UACGUUGACUUCCAUCUAACCCACGUCAUUUACAAAAUUUGGAAAACUUAUUGGUAAAUAUGCAACGUCAGAUAAGUGAUAACAUAAUGUGUGUUCGACACGCGACUAAAGAAAAUAGAAAAAACGUUCAACACACAACAACUUAUCCCACAUAUGUAUGUAGUUAUGUAUGUACGUUGACUUCAUCUAACCCACAUUUACAAAAUAUGCACGGAAACUUAUUGGUAAAUAUGUAACGUCAGAUAGGUGAGAACAUUAUGUGUGUUCGACACGCGACUAGAGAAAAUAGAAAAAACAUUCGACCCGUAACAACUGAGGACCAUCUUACAGUCUCACUUAGACACUCAUUAAAUAAAAACAUGGUAGUGAACCAAAGAAAAAAAGAAAAAGAAAAAAAAUUACGCCCACUGGUACUGAACCAAAGCUAUAGAAUACCCAAACUUCAGAAAUAAAAACAUCCCGUGUAGAUCUACACGGGAUCAAUAACGUGUAGAUUCACUCACUUAGUUCGUGUUUCUCCUUUUCUUUUUUUUCUUUUUUUAUAGGUGUGCUUAGAGCUACAUUCUAGUUACUGUAUCCUGAAUCUACACGUUAUGAAUACCGUGUAGAUCUACACGAAAUCGUUUUGACAAAAACAUCAAUGAAACCAACCAAAACCGGAACUAUAUCGAAACCUUCCUAAUCGCUUUUGUAGAGACCUGUUGGCCAUGGCAGAUCUUCUUUUUGUUUUCCUAACUUUUUCUUUUGUUUUCUGUCACUGGUUCUUUUGCUCGAUGGGGAUAAUUCAAGGGGUGUAGGUGCUAGGUAGGUGGUAGGUAGGUCUGGGUUCGUUUCUCAAUCCCCUAUUGCUGCGUCACGGUUGGUCUUGGUCGUCGCCGCCGCUCUACGAAGAAGGAGAACAACGGAGGAGGAGACGUAGGUGGCGGAGGCGGCCGAAGAAGAGGCCGAGGCCGGCGAGGAAGGAGGCUCUACGAAGAUAGCAGGGUGUAGUGGUGUGGGUGGUGUGGAGGUCGAGGCCGACGUCCUCGAAUUAAGUCCCGCACUCGUUCCACCCCAACGCCAUACCUAGCUUAGGGGAGGAGGAUGCGAGCAGCAACCGGGGAGGAGGCAGCGUAGUAACGAAGGCUGCUCGUGGGCGGCCGCCGUCUUGUCAGCAGCAACGUCGUCGUCGACGACGACGACGACGACUGUCGUUGAUGACGGAUUGUCGUUUUCUAUAUGCAACACACCACUACCUGUAGCUCCCGUGGUGGUGGGGGUAGAGGAAGCAGCGGCUGCACGAGAAGGGGAUGCGCGCGCGGUUGCGGGCACGGGUGGAGCGGCGGUGUAUGGUGUGGGUCGUCUGGGCCCUUCUACAGCGGGAUGAGGCGCGUGUUUAGCUGCUCCUAGACCGUCUCCCCCAGUGGCCGCGGCAGCGUGAGGGUGGCGGGCUGCUGUAGCUGGUCCUGUUCUGGUAGCUACCGGACCACCGGUUGCACGUCCGGUACUAGCUGCGCCUGGCCUUCGAGUGCCGCGAGUUCGUCGACGUCCCGGCGCACACCGCCGCCCCGAAGCUCUCGCCGCUCUAGUUCCCCCUUCAGAUGCUGCUGCAGCAGGUUCGAGAGCGCCUCACCCUGCGCUUACCGUAGUUCUCGAUGUAGAUGAGGUCACCGUCGUCCCUCCGCGUCGCCGAGUAGAAGCCGUUGUGGCGGCGGGUGCCACUGGAGGCCGCUAUGGAGAGGCGGAAGAAGCUGUGGUUGCAGCCACCGUUCUUUCUCAGAGCGUCAAUGAUGCUCUAGACCGUCUGAGAGCCGCAGCUGUCGGGCAGGGUCUAUGAGAAGGACUGGCUACAGAUGGUUCUUCGGUGGCGGCGUUCCCUACGUCCAGAACUCCACGAUUAUAGCUAGUCCGGACCUUUGCGCGGCGAAGGACUCCUAGUGCCGAAGGUCUGGUAGUGCAGCAAACGAGUUUAGCGGUGGACUUACGGUGUCUCUCGAGUGGGGACGGUAUACACGUGUUCUCAUAGUAAAUAUUUCCCUUUGGUAGACUAGAGUUUCGAGAGAAAAAAAAUGGCACAUGUGAUCUCGUCAACGUUGAGUAAUUCAACGUUGGUGUUCUCAGCCAUGUUAACAGAGUUCGGGAACACAUUUUGGUACUGAGCGAUAGUCGUCCAAAGGAUUUUCGUUUGUGUACACCCAUAAAAUAGUUUUGGGACCAUGACUUUAAGCAGGUACUUUAUAUUCCAUAACUCACUAAA
rnacentral:rRNA from 1 species